AUGAUCUUGCAGCUUUUCAAGUCUUCAGGGAGAGGCUAUGUGUUGAAUUUGAUGAUAGGAGGUACGUGGGCGGCGUCCCUGGAGUUCAUGUUGGUGACGUGUUUUGAUUCGGACGCCGAGCUUUUCCUUGUUGGUCUCCAUCGUUCACAGCAGUCGCGUGUUGAUUACAUCAACCGGAACGGGGGCACGACAUGUCUAGCCGUUAGCAUUGUGUCGUACGCGCAACAGUCUGUCCAAAAUAACAAUCUGGAUUUCUUGCUACAUGUUGGCUCUGUGGCUGCCACCACUGGUCAGAAGAUGGAAGGUACCGACUUGGCGCUAAAGCAGAGUAUGGAUACCAAAACACAUGUGCGUGUCAUUUAUAGGUUUGUUAUCACCGGCCGUGAGGAGCUUACAUACUAUGUUUAUGGUGGUUUAUAUUUGGUCGAGAAAUUUUGCAAAGAGAAACUGAGGGAAGACAAACAUAUUAGCACUUUUCAUCUGACAAGAUUGUCGGGGCAACCGCGCAUCAACAUUCAACAACUUGUGGAAAAGAGAAUGGCUGAACCAUCCAAUGGAACUUUUACUGUAGAUAUAUCGGCAGGUCUCGAGAAGAUCCCUAUAUCUGCAAUCAACUCCAUAUCAAACGAGGCCCCAGCUCCAUUUUUCUACAUUUCACACAUACAAUACCUCGGGAAGUAUCAACUAGAUCCUCCAUCGGGUUGUGAUUGUGUUGGUCCAUGUUCGGACUCUCAAAAGUGUGCAUGUGUAAUGAAAAAUGGAGGGAAGAUCCCUUUCAGAAAGACCGGUGGUCUCCUAGAGGAAAAACCUCUUAUUUACGAGUGUGGACCUUCAUGCAAGUGCCCUCCAACUUGUCGCAAUAGAGUGGGCCAACAUGGAAUUGCUUUUCGCCUUCAAGUCUUCAAGACAGCAUCGAUGGGUUGGGGAGUACGAAGCCUUGAUUUUAUACCUACGGGACGUUUUGUGUGUGAAUAUAUAGGGGAGUUGUUGGAUAACGAAGAUGCUCAGGAGAGGGAUAAUGAUGAGUACUUGUUCCUUAUUGGAAACAACUAUUAUGAUGUAUCCCGCUGGGCUAACUUACAAAAGACUAUCCCCUCACUUAGGAAUGGCCCUGGGGAAGAGGAAGAAAAUUUCUUUGCGGUGGACGCACUGAAAUGUGGCAACCUUGCAAGGUUCAUCAACCAUAGCUGCACCCCUAACCUUUUCACACAAAAUGUCCUUUAUGACCAUGACAACAAGGGUAUGCCUCACAUCAUGCUCUUUGCUUGUGAGGAUAUUCAGCCUCUUGAACCACUAUCAUAUGACUAUAAUUAUACCAUAGAUGGGGUCCAUGACUCUGAAGGUAACAUCAAGAAGAAACGAUGCUUAUGUGGCUCUGUUGAGUGCACUGGAUGGUUGUACUAG
rnacentral:rRNA from 1 species